rnacentral:rRNA from 1 species
AUUGAACGCUGGCGGCAGGCCUAACACAUGCAAGUCGAGCGCGCGGCGGGCGGGUGUGUAAUGUAUGUGGGCUGCCCGUUAGGGAGGGAUAACAACUGGAGACGGUAUCUCAUACCCCAUACUAUCGGAUAACCCCCAUGGGAUUAGCUAGUGGUUGAGGUAAUGGCUCACCUAGGCGACGAGCCCUAGCUGGUCUGUGAGGAUGAUCAGCCACACUGGGACUGAGACACGGUCCAGACUCCUACGGAGGCAGCAGUGGGGAAUAUUGCACAAUGGGCGCAAGCCUGAUGCAGCCAUGCCGCGUGUAUGAAGAAGGCCUUAGGGUUGUAAAGUACUUUCAGUGGGGAGGCGUUACCGACAGAAGAAGCACCGGCUAACUCCGUGCCAGCAGCCGCGGUAAUAC